rnacentral:rRNA from 1 species
CCCCGCCCGUGUCGGAGCUAACGCGUUAAGUGUGCCGCCUGGGGAGUACGGCCGCAAGGUUAAAACUCAAAGAAAUUGACGGGGGCCCGCACAAGCAGAGGAGCAUGUGGCUUAAUUCGAUGCAACGCGAAGAACCUUACCAGGGUUUGACAUGGACCUGCACGGCCUAUGAAAGUAGGCCUCCUUCGAGGGUGGUUCACAGGUGCUGCAUGGCUGUCGUCAGUUCGUGCCGUGAGGUGUUUGGUUAAGUCCAGCAACGAACGCAACCCCUGUGUCCAGUUGCCAGCGCGUAAUGGCGGGAACUCUGGACAGACUGCCUGUUUACACAGGAGGAAGGUGGGGAUGACGUCAAGUCAGUAUGGCCCUUACAUCCUGGGCUGCACACGUGCUACAAUGGCCGGUACAAAGGGAAGCGAGGCCGCGAGGCGGAGCCAAUCCCCAAAACCGGCCCCAGUUCAGAUUGGGGUCUGCAACCCGACCCCAUGAAGUCGGAUUUGCUAGUAACGGCGCAUCAGCUACGGCGCCGUGAAUACGUUCCCGGGCCUUGUACACACCGCCCGUCACAUCAUGAAAGCCGUCUGCACCCGAAGGCAGCCCCGC